GAACAACUCCCUUUGCUGCAAAACUGCUAACGUCUUUGAGGUCACCUGGUGGGAGGCAACCUGUAGUGGAUACGGUACUUCCAAACCGAAUGAAAACAGCACGACAGGGGAAAAAAAUAAAAACGGGGAUGCAAGCUAGCAGCUCACAAUCACGGUGGAGGGAGACCUGCUACACGUCAAACCAAAGAAGUGAGUAUCCAGGAAACUGUUCUGUUUUCAACAAAGAUAACAAUAAUAUUUAUUCCUUUUCUAUACAAAAAGUGCUUUUCCUUGUAAAAGCUCCCUGGGCUCUACUUCACUAUUGUUUCAACACAAGACCCUGGUACUGCCAGGAGGUGCUGAAAGGAGGAAAAAGAGGAUGAGAUCACCAGGAAAUCAGACAGAUAGAGGGUUGGGGUUAUUCUAGAGAAGUGUGAUGGAGAGCGUCCUGUGCUCCUGCAUCUCUGUGUGUCAUGGCAGCUGCUCUGUGGCAGAGAGGAAGGCUCUGCUGAUGGUGGUGAAAGCUGCACAGAGGAAUGUAGAGAGUACCUUCUCCACCACCACCGUGGGAAAUCUACACCAGCAGAUGCAGGAACUGGGCCCUACUCAGCCAGGACGUACACCGUUUCUCCCCCUCGAGCAGAAGUCUGCACAGCAUCAAGAGCAGAACCACCAGACGGAGGAACAGCUUCAUCCUGGAGACUGUUGAACUCUGGUGGUGCACUCUCAGCCACAGAUAGGUUUUGUGCUAUCAAAGGCACAUAAGGAUAGGAUAUAAAUGAGAAUCCUUGAAACAAGACUCAGAGAUACUUGAACUCCUCCACAUGAGGCAGCAGCUCAUUCCCAUCCUGGCCACCUUUUCCUGGCCUCAGAUUUGGGAAAGCAGCUUCACCUUUGCAAGCAGCCAAAGCCGAACAAAGUGAAUAACAGAAUUUAUGAGUUUAUUAAGAGUUAGUGUCAAAGAUCACUCCCAGCUUCCUUAUAAAUCCUUAAAAGGCGACACAUCCUCCCCCAGAGUUAGGCUGAAGGAUGAUAAUAAUCUUUAUUUAUAAAAUAUUUACACAAGAUUUUCUGAGUGUGUUUAAAUUUCAGGCUGGCCCGCAGACAUGAGCGUGGGGUCCGUGUGUGAUAUCGAUCUCAGUAAUUAGACAGGGCAACAGGCGGUUUGACAAAAAUAAACAGGCCAGCUCGAUUUAUUGCUUCCAUUAUGUGAGUGCUGCAGUGUAUCAAUCUUCAAGCGAAGGGUGGGACGGCCUCACACGACCGCCGGCAUCAGACUCGUCUUCAUUCAGUGUAUUGAGUAAAUCUAAUGGUGCUGAUUUGCAUUCAUAACCCACUUCUUCUUACGCUCAGCUAGCCUGUGACUUGCUGCGGUCACAGUAUAAAUGCUGCUUUUCCAGGAAUUGAUUGAAACACAACUCUGGGUAAAUUUCACCGUUUGCUGGUUCCUCACUGGUGUUUUUUUCCAGAAUUUGAAAAAAAAUGGUACAAACAGAUAAAUUUAGGACAUUUAACAGUGUUACACUUUCAAAAACAGCUCAAUCACAGAAACUAGCACACACACACAGAAGAGUCAGUGUUUAUGAGGUCACAGAGAGAAAACAAACACUUUUCAUAUCACAAAAUAGUUUUUUUCCGCAGGUACAACCGAGUCUUUGUGCCUAAACGGAGACACACGAGCUAAGCAGACUUAAUUUACUUGAUUUUUGAACAUAAUCAGAUGCAUCAGGUGAUGUUGCCGCUGCUGUAGAGCUGAUUAUUUUAUUCUGUUUUACAUCUUUUCCAACCUGUUUACGUCUGUUUGUAUAUUCUUCUGAAGGCUGGUCCCCUUGCUCUGCGGGACACUUAAGUUACAUUUACAGUCGGUAAAGUUACCAAGCGUGAGACUUUCUGAUUUUUGAGGUGCUCACUUCACCUGUGAGGAAACCCUAACGUAUGAACUGUCUCUGCACCUCUGACCCUGCAGAGGUCACAGACGAGUUUAUUCUUGUGGUUAAUCUCGUGUUAUGAUAGAGACCGCCCACGGAUGCUGACAGCUCUGUUCUUCACGGUCGCUGCGAGUGAAUUAUUUAGUGUUAAUCCCACUAUCUGUGUUCUAAUCUGUCAAAAUGACAGACAGCUUUCUGAUUUUUCAGUUUCUGUCAGUGAAGGAAAAUAUUCACAUAACACAACCACAGUACAAUCUCUAGCAUUGACGAGGGACUGUUUCAGAUCUUUAGGAAAACUCUGUUGGAAAACCUUAAAGGGAGAUAGGAAACUAUAAAAGAAAAAGCUGUUACUUCCUUGGGCUGGUUUGGUUUGUUAUUUCUUUCCUUCACAGUCAUGCAGAGGUGUAGAUUCGCAAGGGGGGACAAAGUGGUCUGUUUUACUCCCAAAAUAUGAAUUAUAAAUUCAUAUCAAUGCAUCCUCUGUAGUCGUGCUUUCCUUUACAUACAUCCUCAGUUAUCAGCUUCUCCUUUCUUACUCGUCCUUUAUCUCAUCAUCAUGCCAUGCCGCCUGCAUUUCUGUCUCUGUUGUCAUGUUACCCAUCAUAUUUUUGUUUUACUUUCUCACCUCAUGUGCCUUGUUUUGGUUUUACUUCUUGUUUUUGUUUCCUCCCAUUGUGAUUGUGAUUGUUUCCACCUGUGCCCUAUUUGUGUUUCUCUUCCUCCUUUUCGUCUUUCUGGACUUCAUUUUUUUGCAGACCAUUACAAAAGCUCACUUUUUGUCAUUCAUUUGCCUCACAUGACACAAGCGAGUUAUUUCUUCAAACAAAAGGCUCAUUUAUAGGCAGGCCUGACAGGUCUUCAGUCUUUUACGCUCAGUCUGGAACCAGGCAAACAUAAAAGAAGACAGAUGAGUAAAUCAUUUGUGUUCUCCCAGCAGGGAUCAUUUUAAAUUAGAAAAGCUGAGAAUAUUUAUCUGAAAGAAACACAGAAUGCCAGAGACUCAGUGCAUUCUCAUCCUGUAUUGAACCGUUACCUUGUGCCUGUUUGUGUUGUCUUUACACACAGAGGAUAUUUGCACCGUAAAAAUCGAUGGAGAAUGCAGCACAAACAGAAUACGGGAAAUUAUGUCUGAUGCUCAAGUUUGUCUCAUUUCACCAGCAAA